rnacentral:rRNA from 1 species
UUAGCAGUGAGGAAUAUUGGUCAAUAGCCUAACGGCUGAACCAGCAACUUGGAGGAAUGAAANGCAAUAGCUUAAACGCACUAUUUUAUAGUGUAGUAUCGACCCUGUCGAAUAAAAUUCUAGGUAGAGUUAUGAUAAUGACAUUAUCUAUCUAUGUGUCUUGACCAAAUUACGUGCCAGCAGUCGCGGUAAUACGUAAAAGACUAGUGUUAUUCAUGAUUAAUAGGUUUAAAGAGUACCUAGACGGUUAAUGAAGCCCCUAAAGGGUACAUAUUAACUAGAGUUAUAUGAAAGGGAGCUUUGAGGUACUGUUGAGUGUAGAGAUGAAAUUCGUUAAUACCAGAUAAGUGGCACGGAUCUAUGCGAAGGCAUCUCCUUAUGUAAUAACUGACGUUGAAGGACGAAGGCUUUUGAAGUGAAGAGGAUUAGAUACCCUAGUAAUCCAAGCAGAAAAUGAUGAAUGUCAUAGGUUGAAUAAUAUAUUUGGUCUAUAAAUGAAAGUGUAAGCAUUCCACCUCAAGAGUAAUUUGGCAACAUUGAAACUGAAAUCAUUAGACCGUAUCUGAAACCAGUAGUGAAGUAUGUUGUUUAAUUAGACGGUCCGCAAAAAACCUUACCACAAUUUGAAUAUAUAUUUUAAUUAAUAUUUACAAGCGUUGCACGGCUGUCUUCAGUUAAUGUCGUGAGAUUUUGGUUAGUUCCAUUAAAUUAGCGCAAACCCUUACUUUAUUUUUAUAUAAAGUUGUUCGACACUAUAUUGGAUAUGAUAAGAGGGACUAAGACAAGUCAUCAUGGCCUUCAUAUUGUGGGCUAUAGACGUGCCACAUAA